rnacentral:lncRNA from 10 species
CAUGCCUCGUAAUUUUUUUGAUGAUACCCAGUUAUGAUGUAUCAGGUACAAGGAACUGAGAGAAACUCCUGGAAGUGAAACUCAUGAAAAUGUCCUCCCCACCCCAAGACUGAGUCUCCAGAGUUUUAACUCUCCUGCAAGUUCAUGCUGAGUCUCCAGAAGUUUAUCAACUGCAGUUCAAGUGCUCCUACCAGCACUGGCUCCAGCCUAGGGCUCCUGCUUCUGGACUUCUGUUCCUGCUAAGCUGUGAUUAUUGGUAUCCUCUUCUUUUUCUAGCUUCUGGACCAGCAGCUUGCCCCGUGACGUCUGUUCUCUGAUGAAUGUAAGAGGGGUUGUUGGUUUUCAUUUUGUUCAGCUUUUAUCUUGUUUUGAGAAUGGUGGUGGUGACUUCCAAGCCCUUAUAUGUGGAAGAAAGUAGGAAGCCCUUGUGGUUCUGUUAGCUCUACUGUCCUGGAAAUCUGUGAAAUGGAUCGUGGGUCCUUCACACUUCGCAGCCCGAAUGUUUGAAUGGCUUCUUUCUU